rnacentral:misc_RNA from 1 species
ACUAGUACGGCUCAGUUCCACCUGCGAGAAAUCAAUAAAACAAGCAUGACCUUCAUUGGAUACUUGUCCUAUUAGUUAAUGUGCAACUGAAAGAAAUGCAGAUUUUCAGAGUUCCCCAUUUUUUAUAUAUAUAUUUGAAUAUCUCUUUCUUUUCCUCAUUCUUUGUUCUUCUUUUAUUGUAUCUCUUCCAAUAACAUAACAAGGUGGAUUUCUAAUCAGAAAAUGAUCAGCACCUAUAAUAAGACUUUCAUCAACAAUCAUAGGUUCAAGCUACUGUGAGUUUAAAAUGAUUCAGACUCGUGUUUCUGAAAAUUCAGUCAAAAACUUGGAUAAAAAGCUUGAAAGGGACAAAAUUAUCCCUCUCCCUUCCAACACUGUAGUUGACCACCAAUUAACAGCAAAUUAAGGGCAUCAAAAUCAAACCAUCCCCAAAAGAACCAAUCAGUAUG